GAUGAUAAUUCCCAUGGAUACCAAAAUGUUAUUGGGACAAUCAAAAGCAGUAGAUGUGAUGAAGACAUCUAUGAGAACAAUCUAGCAAUCCAGAUAUGGAAGCAGGUGCAGAUUUCAGAAAGCGACAGUGCUAAUUGUGAGGAAGAAUCUAUUUACAUCAAUACAGAACAAUAUAGCAGUUCUCAAAGGAGAGAUGUCCAUUUCUGAGAAAUUGGUAUCCUAAAUGUACUUCUUUUUAAUGGGUUAACCUGGGAUCCAGGCAAAGUCUUUCCACGUGUGACUGAAAUCUUCAAGAGCCGAAAUCUAAGAGGAAUUAAAGCGUCCCAACUCCAACAUACCAGAAGACUGGAUAAUAACACUGAACUAAUUUACCGGAUUGUCAUACUUUAUUCUUGCCACAUCUUCCUGGCCCUACCUGUCAGCAUCGAAUUUCUGACUUACUUUGCAGACCUAAUAUAAUUUAUCACAAUCUCCCAGAUAGCGAAUCUUGCUUUGGCAAUAUUUAUGAGGCAUGUAUGGACUUUAUCUGCCCAUA